rfam:Ciona savignyi cont_9206, whole genome shotgun sequence.
GCACUGCUGGUGUAGUGGUAUCAUGCAAGAUUCCCAUUCUUGCGACCCGGAUUCGAUUCCCGGGCAGUGCA